AGAGUGAACGCUGGCGGUAGGCCUAACACAUGCAAGUCGAACGGCAGCACAGUAGGAGCUUGCUCUUACGGGUGGCGAGUGGCGGACGGGUGAGGAAUACAUCGGAAUCUACCUUUUGGUGGGGGAUAACGUAGGGAAACUUACGCUAAUACCGCAUACGCCCUUCGGGGGAAAGCCGGGGACCAGCAAUGGCCUGGCGCUGAUAGAUGAGCCGAUGUCGGAUUAGCUAGUUGGUGAGGUAAUGGCUCACCAAGGCGACGAUCCGUAGCUGGUCUGAGAGGAUGAUCAGCCACACUGGAACUGAGACACGGUCCAGACUCCUACGGGAGCAGCAGUGGGGAAUAUUGGACAAGUGGGCGCAAGCCUGAUCCAGCCAUACCGCGUGGUGAAGAGGCCUUGGUUACGUAAAGUCCC
rnacentral:rRNA from 1 species